GAGCAUACCUGUGAAGGAAAUGACGCUGCAAGAUUCUCAUGCAGGCACGUGGCUGGAAUGAGGACAUCCCUUUACAGCUGUUGCUCAGAACACAGUCUGUGGAAGCAGCGUAAGGAAAGUUGUCGUGCUGUUGAUUCUAGAAACUCCUUUAGAAAGAAGAGCUACGUUCUGCUGCUUGGCUGGGGUGUCCUGGGUGAGACAAAGUGGACAGAGCUCUAAUCUGGGGAUCAGUAUGAGUGACUUUCAUUUACAAUGACUUACUUUGUUGUAUGCUAUGCCAUUCCCACAGUACGUUUUUUUUUGGUACAGAUUUCAAAAUAGUCUCUGAAGUUUGUUAUUUAAAUAGCUACAAUAGAUGAUUAGAAGUAUAUAAUCUCUGCUGGCCUGUGAAACCAGCUGGCCUGAGGGAUCGCUCCUCUGUUGUUUCUCACCUUGCAGCGAUGAAUAUAAUGUUUGUAUUGGUCUAAUCUGAGCUGAAAUAAAAUGGCUGCUUAGAAAAGCUUGGUCU
rnacentral:lncRNA from 7 species